AUGCCUUUAAUGUCUGGGGACGAGGAACUCAAGUCAUCGUCUCCUCAGGUGCCUGGAGAUUUGGGACAAGAUGAUUUUGUCAACCGGGAGUGGAAUUCAUAUCUCUGUGACAACUAUGCUUUUGACCAAUGGGGACCAGGAACUUUGGUUACCGUAAGCACCGAACCCCCAAGUGCCCCUUCUCUUUUCCCACUCAUCCCAUCUGAGAAGAACUCAGGGAGUACAGACAUCGUCAUCGGAUGCCUCGCCAAGAAUUUUCUGCCAGAUGCAGUCACUUUCUCCUGGAAUAAUCCAAGCAACGAGAGUCUCAGCGCCGAAAGCUUCAAGAAAUUUCCUUCUAUUAGGAACCCGGCUGGGACAUUCACUGCAGCUUCCGAGGCUAAAGUCUCAUUGGAAAUAUGGAAUACAUAUAAACCAUUCUAUUGCAAAACUGACCAUUCGCAGGGGAACGGAGUGGUAGCAGUUGCUAAACCACAACCUCCAGGAGGCCCUCCCCCUGAGAUGCUUGUUCGGGCACCACCUCUUGCUGCAUUUUUAAGUAGCUACCUAAAUUCCACUGUCACCUGUGAAAUUAGUAACCUCUGCUCUCCAAACACUGAAAUCCACUGGUUUAAGGAGCAAACAGAAAUCACCAGUGACAUCACCACCAGCAAACCCCUCUUAAAUACUCGUGGUACAUACACCAUCUGGAGCCAACUCAUCAUCACCAAGGAAGACUGGUUUUCUGGCAAAAAGUUCAUCUGUGAAGCGAGAAGCACGGCAUACAAUCAUUCACAGGAGUUCAGCAUGCAAUCUUUUUGCAAAGAUCCCAUAGGGUGUGCAUCUGUUAAAGUGGAAACCAUCCCCCCAGCUUUUGCUGAUAUCUACCAGACCAACUCAGCCAAACUGACUUGCAGAAUCUCCAAUAUACCUAUUGACAUUUCAAACUUGAACGUCACCUGGACACGAAAAUCAGACCACAAGCAACUGCAUACUGCACUGGGAGAUUUGCAGGUCCAGAAAAACCAGAUGUUCUACGUUGAUGCUAUAGCUACAGUGUGUGCAACAGAAUGGAAGGAGGGUGAAACUUUUACCUGUAAAGUUACAUUUGAAGGCGUACUUGCAAACCCAGUAGAAAAAACCCUGGAGAAGGAGAGUGGCAGCACAAAACAUGCUCCUUCUGUCUACGUCCUUCCACCUCCAUCAGAACAACUGGCUUUGCGGGAAGCAGUAACCAUCACAUGCUUCAUUAAAGGUUUCUAUCCUGGCAACUUCUUUGUGCGAUGGCUCCAUAAUGAAGAGCCAGUCAAUGAAUCAGAGUACUACACCAACCAACCCAUAUUAGAGACCAAAACAUCGAACCAGUACUCUGCCUACAGCAUGCUGACCACCAACGAACAGUCAUGGAGUUCUGGAGACACUUUCACUUGCAUAGUGGGACAUGAAGCCUUGCCGUUCAGCACAGUGCAGAAGACUAUAGACAAGAACACGGGUAAACCAUCCAUAGUCAACAUCUCCUUAGUCCUCUCCGACGCCAUGAGCACUUGCUACUAAUUCUUAACCUAAUUUCUUUUAAGAAACCUUCAUUUGCCCUAUUCCUACCAGCAUGUGUUUCUCCUGCUUCAUUAUUGAUACUUUGGUGGAAGGUUCGCAGUGAUGAAGGCAGAUAUCUAAGGAAAGAUGUGGAAUGUUAAAGCAUUAGCUGGCCACAUCUUUUUGAAGAAAAUAAAAUUUUUGCAAUAAAGUAUUUUUCUCAAAACAAAGAAAAAA